GUUCCUAAUGUGGAUCUAGCAGAACCCAUAAUGGACCUUGUUAGCGUUCGCAGCAAAGAAAGAUAAAUAAUUCAGACACUAGGCGGCGUACCAUUCGACAAGUCUCGAACUCAGAUUCAGUUAAGAAGUUACAAUGGUUAUAUGUUAUGUUGUUAUUGUUCUCACGAUGGAAGUAAAUACAUGAAGUAUUUAAAAUUUUAUAGAAUAGAUUCAAUAAAAACCAUUACACCGAUUAUACCGUUUGUAUUUUUUGUCUAACCAACGACUAUAUAACCUGUAUGUCUUCCAUACCGGUGUUAACUGAUUAUUUGAACGUUAGGGUUAACAUUCUCUACGUAAAUCAGGAAGAUGGCGGAACAACAGAAAAGUUUAUCCAGAAGUCAAGAUUUUAUCUUCAAUGUUUACCAAGUUUGUUUGUUUGUGUGAAUUUUUAACCUUGGAAUGCCUGCAUAUUUUGCACUAUAUUUGACACAUUGAAAUUUAUUUGGACAGGAUACAAAAAUGCUGAAUAUAUAUAUAAAAAAAAAUUCUAAAUUAUAU